GUUAAGGUUAUGUAAGGUAAGGUAAGGUAAGGUUAGAUUAGGUCAGGUUAUGUAAGGUAAGGUAAAGUUAGGCGAGGUAAGGUUAGGUUAGGUAAGGCUCGAUAAAGUUAUGUAAGGUAAGGUCAGGUAAGGUUAGGUUAGGUCAGGUAUGGUAAGGUUAUGUAAGGUAAAGUAAUGUUAGAUUAGGUUAGGUCAGGUAAGGUUAGGUAAGGUAAGGUCAGGUUAGGUAAGGUCAGGUUAGGUUAGGUAAGGUCAGGUAAGGUUUGUUGUGGUUUAAAUACCGUUGUUCUUCUGUUUAUUUACUUUGUUUUGAUUGCUGGUUUUUUUUUCUUUGUUUUGUAAUGGUCACGUGUUUGGGUUCAGCUCUUUAAUGUUCUCUUGUGUUUGUUUUUAAUUCGUGUGUUUUUUUCCGCUUUAUUUGUUUUCUUUUUCUUUUCCUGUUGUUUUAUAUUUUUACCGGUGUUUUAAUUUUGCUUUAUCUGUUUUAUUUGUCUUGUUUUCUUCUGGUUUUGCUUUAUUCGUGUUUUUUUUGUUUUACUUGUUUUAUUAUAUUCUGUGUUCUUUAUAAUGUUACCGGUGUUUUAAUUUUUGUUUUAUCUGUGGGUUUUUUUGUCUUGUUUUCUUCUGGUUUCACUUUUUUCGUGUUUUUCUUUUUGUUUUACUUGUUUUGUUAUAUUCUGUGUUUUUUUUCUUUAUAAUUUUACUUGGUGUUUUAUUUUCGUUUUAUCUGUUUGUUUUUUUUGGCUUGUUUUUCUGGUUUCACUUUUAAUGUGUUUUUCUUUCCGUUUUCCUUGUUUUGUUUCUGUGUUUUUUUUCUUUAUAAUGUUACUUGGUGUUUUAAUUUUUUGCUUUGUGUUUUUUUUUUGUCUUGUUUUUUUUCUUCUUUCACUUUUUAAGUUCUCAUCGCAUUAUUUUUUUCUUAUAUAUAUUUUUUGUUUUAUAUUGUUUUUCUUGUUUUAUAAUGUCAUGGCUGUGUGUUUUUGUGUGUUUUUAUUUUCUUUAUUUUUACUGUUUGGUUUUAAUUUUUGGUUUAUUUUCACUUUUUUUUUGGAUAUAUAUUUUUUUUCUUGUAUUUUUGUUAUUUAUUUUUUCUAGUUUGUUUUAUGUGUUCUGUAAGUCUUCUUCUUCUUCUUCUUCUUCUUCUUUUUUUUUUCUUCUUUUUAUUCUUCUUUUUCUUCUUCUUUUUCUUCUUUUUAUUUUUCUUCUUCCUCUUCUUUUUUCUUAUUUUUCUUAUUUUUCUUCUUCUUUUUCUUCUUCUUCUUCUUCCUCUUCUUCUUUUUUAUUCUUUUUCUUCUUCUUCUUCU